UGGUGAGUGGUGUACUGAGCAUGUGUAAUUUCGGCUUACAAGGGGAGAUGGUCUCCUUACCUU
rnacentral:tRNA from 1 species